rnacentral:rRNA from 1 species
AGUGAACGCUGGCGGUAGGCCUAACACAUGCAAGUCGAACGGCAGCACAGGAGAGCUUGCUCUCUGGGUGGCGAGUGGCGGACGGGUGAGGAAUACAUCGGAAUCUACUUUUUCGUGGGGGAUAACGUAGGGAAACUUACGCUAAUACCGCAUACGACCUACGGGUGAAAGCAGGGGAUCUUCGGACCUUGCGCGAUUGAAUGAGCCGAUGUCGGAUUAGCUAGUUGGCGGGGUAAAGGCCCACCAAGGCGACGAUCCGUAGCUGGUCUGAGAGGAUGAUUAGCCACACUGGAACUGAGACACGGUCCAGACUCCUACGGGAGGCAGCAGUGGGGAAUAUUGGACAAUGGGCGCAAGCCUGAUCCAGCCAUACCGCGUGGGUGAAGAAGGCCUUCGGGUCGUAAAGCCCUUUUGUUGGGAAAGAAAUCCAGCUGGUUAAUACCCGGUUGGGAUGACGGUACCCAAAGAAUAAGCACCGGCUAACUUCGUGCCAGCAGCCGCCGUAA